CCUGGUUGAUCCCUGCCAGUAGUCAUAUGCUUGUCUUAAAGAUUAAGCCAUGCAUGUGUAAGUAUGAACGAAUUGAGACUGUGAAACUGCGAAUGGCUCGUUAAAUCGUUUAUAGUUUGUUUGAUGUAACUACUACUCGGAUAACCGAAGUAAUUCUAGAGCUAAUACGUGCAACAAACCCCGACUUCUGGAGGGAUGCAUUUAUUAGAAAAGGUCGACGCGGCUCUGCCCGUUGCUCUGAUGAUUCAGGAUAACUCGACGGAUCGCAUGGCCUUAGUGCUGGCGACGCAUCAAUCAAAUUUCUGCCCUAUCAACUUUGGAUGGUAGGAUAGUGGCCUACCAUGGUGGUAACGGGUGACGGAGAAUUAGGGUCCGAUUCCGGAGAGGGAGCCAGAGAAACGCAUACCACAUCCAAGGAAGGCAGCAGGAGCGAAAAUUACCCAAUCCUGACACGGGAAGGUAGUGACAAUAAAUAACAAUACCGCGCUCUUUGAGUCUCGUAAUUGGAAUGAGUACAAUCUAAAUCCCUUAACGAGGAUCCAUUGGAGGCAAGUCUGGUUGCAGCAGCCGCGGUAAUUCCAGCUACAAUAGCGUAUAUUUAAGUAGUUGCAGUUAAAAAGCUCCUAGUUGAACCUUGGGAUGGGUCGCCCGGUCCGCCUUCCGUGAGCACCGGUCGGCUUGUCUCUUCUGUCGGCGAUACGCUCCUGGCCUUAACUGGCCGGGCCGGGCCUCCGGCGCUGUUACUUUGAAAGAAAUUAGAGCUGCCCAAAGCAAGCCUACGCUCUGAAUACAUUAGCAUGGGAUAACAUAAUAGGAUUUAGAUCCUAUUGUGUUGGCCUUCGGAGAAUCGCGAAGAGUAAUGAUUUAACAGGGACAGUCGGGGCAUUCGUAUUUCAUAGUCAGAGGUGAAAUUCUUGGAUUUAUGAAAGAACAACAACUGCAAAAUCAUUUGCCAAGGAUGUUUUCAUUAAUCAAGAACGAAAGUUGGGGGCUCGAAGACGAUACGAUACCGUCCUAGUCUCAACCAUAAACCAUAAACGAUGCCGACACGGGAUCAGCGGAUGUUGCUUUUAGGACUCCGCUGGCACCUUAUGAAGAAAUCAAAGUUUUUGCGUUCCGGGGGGAGUAUGGUCGCAAGCCUGAAACUUAAAGGAAUUGACGGAAGGGCACCACCAGGAGUGGAGGCUGCGGCUUAAUUUGACUCAACACGGGGAAAACUACCAGGUCCAGACAUAGUAAAGAUUGACAGACUGAGAGCACUUUCUUGAUUCUAUGGGUGGUGUUGCAUGGCCGUUCUUAGUCGGUGGAGCGAUUUGUCUGGUUAAAUCCGUUAACGAACGAGACCUCAGCCAGCUAACUAGCUACGUGGAGGCAUCCCCUCACGGCCGGCUUCUUAGAGGGACCAUGGCCGUUUAGGCCAAGGAAGUUUGAGGCAAUAACAGGUCUGUGAUGCCCUUAGAUGUUCGUGGCCGCACGCGCGCUACACUGAUGUACUCAACGAGUUCACACCUUGGCGGACAGGCCCGUGUAAUCUUUAAAAUUUCAUCGUGAUGGGAUAGAUCAUUGCAAUAGUUGGUCUUCAACGAGGAAUUCCUAGAAAGCGCGAGUCAUCAGCUCGCGUUGACUACGUCGCUGCCCUUUGUACACACGCCCGUCGCUCCUACCACUUGAAUGAUCCGGUGAAUUGUUCGGAUCGCGGCGACAUGGGUGGUUCGCCGUCUGCGAACUCGCGAGAAGUCCACUAAACCUUAUCAUUUAGCGGAAGGAGAAGUCGUAACAAGGUUUCCGUAGGUGAACCUGCGGAAA
rnacentral:rRNA from 1 species